CUACGGGCCGCACCAGUCGAGGAAAUUUUACAAUGCUCGCAAGAGUGAUAAAAUAAACCAGAGUGUUUCUCUUAGAGAAACUUUUGUUUGCUGUAAAAAGGCAGAUGAAUAAGGACUGGGCAAGACCGGUGCCAGCCGCCGCGGUAAUACCGGCGGUCCAAGUUGCAUCCACAUUUAUUGGGUCUAAAACAUCUGUAGCUUGUUUUGCAAAUUUCUUGUGAAAUCUCACAUCUUAAGUAUGAGGCGUGCAAGAAAAACUGCAUAACUAGAGACCGGGAGACGCAAAGAGUACAAUUGAGGUAGCGGUAAAAUGUAUUAAUCUUAAUUGGACUAACAACGGCGAAGGCACUUUGCGAGCACGGAUCUGACAGUAAGGGAUGAAGGCUAGGGGCGCAAAAGGGAUUAGAUACCCCCGUAGUC
rnacentral:rRNA from 1 species